UGGGGGAUCUUGGACAAUGGGCGCAAGCCUGAUCCAGCCAUGCCGCGUGAGUGAAGAAGGCCUUAGGGUUGUAAAGCUCUUUUGGCAGGGACGAUAAUGACGGUACCUGCAGAAUAAGCCCCGGCAAACUUCGUGCCAGCAGCCGCGGUAAUACGAAGGGGGCUAGCGUUGUUCGGAUUUACUGGGCGUAAAGCGCACGUAGGCGGAUUGUUAAGUCAGGGGUGAAGUCCCGGAGCUCAACUCCGGAACUGCCUUUGAUACUGGCAAUCUUGAGGCUGGAAGAGGUUGGUAGAAUUCCCAGUGUAGAGGUGAAAUUCGUAGAUAUUGGGAAGAAUACCAGUGGCGAAGGCGGCCAACUGGUCCAGAUCUGACGCUGAGGUGCGAAAGCGUGGGGAGCAAACA
rnacentral:rRNA from 1 species